ACCCACUGUUUAAAAUCAGGAAUAACAUGCUUUGAUUGGCAUUUUACUUUGGUUCUGUAUUCAUUACAAGUGCAAAUCUGCAGAACAGUGCAACAAAAUAUUUCUCCAGCACUUGACAGGGUGAGAGAAAGAAAGAAAGAGAGAGAGAGAGUGAGAGAGGAGAGCGAGAACUUAAUCCUGGUGACGCAGGAAUGCGCCGUGACAAAUAGUUACCCAUGGAGAGAAAGACAGAGACAAAGGCCGGCUCACGUACAUAGCGCGAUUUUGUCACUUGUAUCUGCAAGAUACUUUUCGACACGUCGGAACCAUUUGCAACUUGUGCAUCCUUCUUAAAGAAGAGCCAUCCCACACUUACUCUCUCUCUCUCCCUCUUUCUCUCUAUUUCUCCCAGUAUCCCCCGGUAGGCAGACUUGAAAGAUACAAAUGUAUCUUCAUUUGUGUAUGUGUCCAUGUGUGUGGCAAGCAACGCCCCUGAAAACACUUUUGUGGCGCCUCUCCGAACACACCCAAAAGAGACGUGGCACAUUCACACACACAUGCAGCCAGUGCACCCAGACACGGACGUAUGUUUGCAUACAUAUCGACAGACUCAGCUGACGUUGCACAGGGGCAAGUUGUGUGUUUACACUCAAAUAUUUUUCAUUUUAUAGCAAUGCGAAACACCCGCAUAGAAUUCCCACAUGGAAGGCGGCAGCAGCCAUAAAUUGAAAUGGAGUAUGGGCAAAGCAGACGAGGAAGGAAAUGUAGGAGAAGAAGGGGGAGGGGACAGUGUCGUUGGGUGUGAAAAAUGAAAAGCAUCCAUAAUCUAAUUUUAUCAUUAUCACAGUUGUCUGCACUAAGUGACGUCACACGCACUCCCUGCACAAGAAAACAGAAAUGCAUUUGAGAAAAAAAGAUGAAGACGUAGCUAAAGACAUGAGCCAAAGAUGGGAAGGUUAACUCCAAAGAUCGACAUAAGAAAUGAUCAACUAAGUCAACUUGUGAAAAUGAAUAAAGUUGAAACUAAAACAUUAA